rnacentral:rRNA from 1 species
UACGUAGGGUGCAAGCGUUGUCCGGAAUUAUUGGGCGUAAAGAGCUCGUAGGCGGCUUGUUGCGUCGGCUGUGAAAUCCCGAGGCUCAACCUCGGGUCUGCAGUCGAUACGAGCAAACUAGAGUGUUGCAGGGGAGACUGGAAUUCCUGGUGUAGCGGUGAAAUGCGCAGAUAUCAGGAGGAACACCGGUGGCGAAGGCAGUGAUCUGGGCCGGUACUGACGCUGAGGAGCGAAAGCGUGGGUAGCAAACAGG